rnacentral:rRNA from 1 species
UGGUGGGGACACGUAAGGAAAGCGGAAGCCGGGAAUGGAAAGCCCGGUGCAAGCGGGGUACCAGUCACUUUGGCAAAUCCGGGUGGCAAUGGGAAGCCGUGAUGCGGAGCGAAAUAAAGUAGCGAAGUCCGUGAGCCAUGCGUCAAGAAAAGCCGCUAUUGUUUAUACCGUACCCGUACCGUAAACCGACACAGGUGGAUGAGGAGAGAAUCCUAAGGCCGGCGGAAGAAGCAUUGUCAAGGAACUCGGCAAAAUGGCCCCGUAACUUAGGGAUAAGGGGUGCCUGGGAAACCAGGCCGCAGAGAAUAGGCUCAAGCAACUGUUUAGCAAAAACACAGGUCUAUGCGAAACCGAAAGGUGAGGUAUAUGGGCUGACGCCUGCCCGGUGCUGGAAGGUUAAGAGGAGAGGUUAGCGGUAACGCGAAGCUUUGAAUUUAAGCCCCAGAAAACGGCGGCCGUAACUAUAACGGUCCUAAGGUAGCGAAAUUCCUUGUCGGGUAAGUUCCGACCCGCACGAAAGGCGUAAUGAUUGAGCGCUGUCUCGACAAUGCAUCCGGUGAAAUUGAAGUACCAGUGAGGAUGCUGGUUACCUGCGCCAGGACGGAAAGACCCCAUGGAGCUUUACUCCAGUCUGGUACUGGGACUCGGUAUUGCAUGUACAGGAUAGGUGGGAGGCUAGGAGAUGGUAACGCCAGUUGCCAUGGAGCCGCUGUUGGGAUACCACCCUUGCAGUAUUGGGCUUCUAACCAGCCGCCGUGACCCGGCGGUGGGACAAUGCCAGACGGGGAGUUUGACUGGGGCGGUCGCCUCCGAAAGGGUAUCGGAGGCGCCCAAAGGUUCCCUCAGAAUGGACGGAAACCAUUCGAAGAGUGCAAAGGCAGAAGGGAGCUUGACUGCGACACCGACGGGUGGAGCAGGUACGAAAGUAGGGCUUAGUGAUCCGGUGGUAUUAAGUGGGGAUGCCAUCGUUCAACGGAUAAAAGCUACCCUGGGAUAACAGGCUUAUCACUCCCAAGAGUUCACAUCGACGGAGUGGUUUGGCACCUCGAUGUCGGCUCAUCGCAUCCUGGGGCUGUAGUAGGUCCCAAGGGUUGGGCUGUUCGCCCAUUAAAGCGGUACGCGAGCUGGGUUCAGAACGUCGUGAGACAGUUCGGUCCCUAUCCGGCGUGGGCGUAGGAUAUCUGAGAGGAGCUGUCCUUAGUACGAGAGGACCGGGAUGGACGGGCCGCUGGUGCAUCGGUUAGACUGCCAAGUCUACGGCCGAGUAGCCAAGCCCGGAAGGGAUAAACGCUGAAGGCAUCUAAGCGUGAAGCCCCCCUUAAGAUGAGAUAUCCCAUUCGAAAGAAGUAAACCCCCUUGAAGACGACGAGGUAGAUAGGGCAGAGGUGGAAGUGCGCAAUGCAUGGAGCUGACUGUUACUAAUCGGGUGGGGGCUUGAUC